rnacentral:pre_miRNA from 1 species
CAGUGGUGCCACUGGUGACAAUGGUAACAAUGGCGACAUUGGCGAUUAAAAUGAAUGGCGCCACUGUUGCCAUUGGAGCCACUGUCGUCAAUGGCU